GGGUUGUGAGGUUAAGCGACUAAGCGUACACGGUGGAUGCCCUGGCAGUCAGAGGCGAUGAAGGACGUGCUAAUCUGCGAUAAGCGCCGGUAAGGUGAUAUGAACCGUUAUAACCGGCGAUUUCCGAAUGGGGAAACCCAGUGUGACUCGUCACACUAUCAUUAACUGAAUCCAUAGGUUAAUGAGGCGAACCGGGGGAACUGAAACAUCUAAGUACCCCGAGGAAAAGAAAUCAACCGAGAUUCCCCCAGUAGCGGCGAGCGAACGGGGAGGAGCCCAGAGCCUGAAUCAGCAUGUGUGUUAGUGGAAGCGUCUGGAAAGGCGCGCGAUACAGGGUGACAGCCCCGUACACAAAAGCGCAUGUGCUGUGAGCUCGAUGAGUAGGGCGGGACACGUGGUAUCCUGUCUGAAUAUGGGGGGACCAUCCUCCAAGGCUAAAUACUCCUGACUGACCGAUAGUGAACCAGUACCGUGAGGGAAAGGCGAAAAGAACCCCGGCGAGGGGAGUGAAAAAGAACCUGAAACCGUGUACGUACAAGCAGUGGGAGCACCCUUUGGGGUGUGACUGCGUACCUUUUGUAUAAUGGGUCAGCGACUUAUAUUCUGUAGCAAGGUUAACCGUAUAGGGGAGCCGUAGGGAAACCGAGUCUUAAC
rnacentral:rRNA from 1 species